AUUGAACGCUGGCGGCAGGCCUAACACAUGCACGUCGAGCGGAGCGGCGGACGGGUGAGUAAUGCCUAGGAAUCUGCCUGGUAGUGGGGGAUAACGUCCGGAAACGGGCGCUAAUACCGCAUACUAUCAGAUGAGCCUAGGUCGGAUUAGCUAGUUGGUGGGGUAAAGGCCUACCAAGGCGACGAUCCGUAACUGGUAGGAGAGGAUGAUCAGUCACACUGGAACUGAUACACGGUCCAGACUCCUACGUGAGGCAGCAGUGGGGAAUAUUGGACAAUGGGCGAAAGCCUGAUCCAGCCAUGCCGCGUGUGUGAAGAAGGUCUUCGGAUUGUAAAGCACUUUAAGUUGGGAGGCGUUACCCGCAGAAGAAGCACCGGCUAACUCCGUGCCAGCAGCCGCGGUAAUUC
rnacentral:rRNA from 1 species